rnacentral:rRNA from 1 species
UUACCGAGUGCGGGCCCCUCGGGGCCCAACCUCCCACCCGUGUUGCCCGAACCUAUGUUGCCUCGGCGGGCCCCGCGCCCGCCGACGGCCCCCCUGAACGCUGUCUGAAGUUGCAGUCUGAGACCUAUAACGAAAUUAGUUAAAACUUUCAACAACGGAUCUCUUGGUUCCGGCAUCGAUGAAGAACGCAGCGAAAUGCGAUAACUAAUGUGAAUUGCAGAAUUCAGUGAAUCAUCGAGUCUUUGAACGCACAUUGCGCCCUCUGGUAUUCCGGAGGGCAUGCCUGUCCGAGCGUCAUUGCUGCCCUCAAGCCCGGCUUGUGUGUUGGGCCCCGUCCCCCCCGCCGGGGGGACGGGCCCGAAAGGCAGCGGCGGCACCGCGUCCGGUCCUCGAGCGUAUGGGGCUUCGUCACCCGCUCUAGUAGGCCCGGCCGGCGCCAGCCGACCCCCAACCUUUAAUUAUCUCAGGUUGACCUCGGAUCAGGUAGGGAUACCCGCUGAACUUAAGCAUAUCAAUAAGCGGAGGAAAAGAAACCAACCGGGAUUGCCCUAGUAACGGCGAGUGAAGCGGCAAGAGCUCAAAUUUGAAAGCUGGCCCCCUCGGGGUCCGCAUUGUAAUUUGCAGAGGAUGCUUCGGGAACGGCCCCCAUCUAAGUGCCCUGGAACGGGCCGUCAUAGAGGGUGAGAAUCCCGUCUGGGAUGGGGUG